rnacentral:lncRNA from 1 species
CUACACGCCGUGUAAAUGUUACUUGAUGGCCUACCGUGCAGUUUAGGGCCUAAAUAGUGAUCACACAGUUCAACCGUUUACACGGUAAAAAAAGUCCUACACGACUUAAAUGGUGUACAUGAAAUGGUGAUUACACAGUUUUACACGGCGAGUAGACCGUUUUAAAACAACGUUUAGGCGAUAGGAAAGUAUGAACUACAACUAAUUGUGAAUCAAUAUGGCAUUUGUUAUCAAGAGAAUUCCCUAUUUGACACUCAUAUAAUGAGUGGUUCCUUUCUUGGCCUUCAAAAUUUUUUCCUUCCUUAUUUGACACUAACUUGGGUUCCUCAUUUGACACUCCCGGUCAUUCCGUCAGUUAACUCGGGUGAACAGUAACCCGUUAAUACUUCCACCCUAUUUUACUAAACAAAACGACAUUCAAAUCACCUCUAAAAUUCAUGAAUUUUUUUUAGUGAUAUAAAAGAUAGAGAUGAACUUAUUUUACACAAAAACACACACAUAUAUCAUUUUAAAUCUUAAAACUAAAAUUCAUCAAAAUACACUACUUUUAAAGAAUAUGUGAAUUUUUAGUGCAUAAAAAUACUUUCAAAAAAUGAUGUAAAAAUACUCAAUAUCACUACAACAUGAUGAAGUAAUUUAUAAUUUAUAACUAUAAUAUGAGUUCAUCUCUAUCUUUUAUAUAACUAUAAAAAAUUUCAUGAAUUUUAGAGGUGAUUUGGACGUGGUUUCUUUAGUAAAAUAGGGUUACUAUUCACCCAAGUUAACUGACAGAACGAACGGGAGUGUCAAAUGAGGAACCAAAGUUUAAGUCAGUGUCAAAUAAGGAAGGAAAAAAAUUUUAAGGGUCAAGAAAGGAACCACUCAUUAUAUGAGUGUCAAAUAGGAAAUUCUCUCUUUAUUAUUUUAUUUGAGAACCUUCAACUAGUAACACCCAACCUAUGAUUAGAUCUUUAGUCAAAUUGACUUUUAAGCUUUCUAACUUUUUAUAUUUGGAUGAUGAAAUAUCAAAAUUU